UAUUUCAGGCAGUAUACUGGUAAAGGGUUUUAUUUGCACCAUUCUUACCUGUUGCUACCUGAAAUUAAU
rnacentral:pre_miRNA from 1 species